rnacentral:rRNA from 1 species
UACGAAGGGUGCAAGCGUUACUCGGAAUUACUGGGCGUAAAGCGUGCGUAGGUGGUGAGUUAAGUCUGAUGUGAAAUCCCCGGGCUCAACCUGGGAAUGGCAUUGGAUACUGGCUCGCUCGAGUGCGGUAGAGGGUGGUGGAAUUCCCGGUGUAGCAGUGAAAUGCGUAGAGAUGUGGAGGAACACCGAUGGCGAAGGCAGCCCCCCUGGGGUCAAGAUUGACGCUCAUGCACGAAAGCGUGGGGAGCAAACAGG